GACGAACGCUGGCGGCGUGCUUAACACAUGCAAGUCGAGCGGAGCGGCGAACGGGUGAGUAACGCGUGAGUAACUGACCCCCUCUCUGGGAUAACAGUUGGAAACGGCUGCUAAUACCGGAUAGUGGGGGAUGACUCGCGUCCUAUGAGCUUGUUGGUGGGGUAGGGGCCUACUACGGGGACGACGGGUAGCCGGCCUGGGAGGUGGACCGGCCACAUGGGGCUGAGAUACGGCCCAAACUCCAACGGGAGGCAGCAGUGGGGAAUAUUGCACAAUGGGGGAAACCCUGAGGCAGAAACGCCGCGUGCGGGAUGACGGCCUUCGGGUUGUAAACCGCUUUCAGCCAUGACGCGGUAGUGGCAGAAGAAGCACCGGCUAACUACGUGCCAGCCGCCGCGGUAAUAC
rnacentral:rRNA from 1 species